GAUGAACGCUGGCGGCGUGCCUAAUACAUGCAAGUCGAGCGGACGGACGAGAAGCUUGCUUCUCUGAUGUUAGCGGAGGACGGGUGAGUCACACGUGGAUACCCUACCUAUAAGACUGGGAUAACUUCGGGAAACCGGCGCUAAUACCGGAUAAUCUUCUGAACCGCAUGGUUCAAAAGUGAGAUACGGUCUUGCUGUCACUUCUCGCUGGAUCUGCGCUGCAUUAGCUAGUUGGUAAGGUAACGGCCUACCAAGGCAACGAUGCAUAUCCGACCUGUGAGGGUGAUAGCCGACAUGAGAACGUAACCACGGUCCAGACGCCUGCGGGAGGGAGCAGUAUGGAAUGUGCCGCAAUGGUCGAAAGCCUGACGGAGUAACGGCGCGCGAGUUAUGGAGGCGCUCGGAUCGGAAUACUCUGUUAUUAGGGAAGAACAGAUGUGUAAUGAGCUGUGCACAGCGUGACGGUAACGGAUCAGGAAGCCACGGCUAACUACGUG
rnacentral:rRNA from 1 species